GGAAAGUCGCACGGUACAGGGUGAAAGUCCCGUACACGAAAACACACAGGCUGUGAACUCGAAGAGUAGGGCGGGACACGUGGUAUCCUGUCUGAAUAUGGGGGGACCAUCCUCCAAGGCUAAAUACUCCGGACUGACCGAUAGUGAACCAGUACCGUGAGGGAAAGGCGAAAAGAACCCCGGCGAGGGGAGUGAAAAAGAACCUGAAACCGUGUACGUACAAGCAGUGGGAGCACCUUCGGGUGUGACUGCGUACCUUUU
rnacentral:rRNA from 1 species